ACGGUGACGCGGCUGCGGCGCGAGAACCGGCGGCUGCGGCUGCAGCGGGACCAGCUCCGGCACAGGCUGGAGGCCACAGAGGCAGCAGAGCCUCGGACAGCGCAGAGCAAGGUGAGUGGGGGGACCAGGGAGGUUUUGGGGGGGGUCCCCAGUUUCUUGUGGGGGUCUCGGUGUCUUGGGGAGGGUCUCGCUGUUUUGGGGGGGUCUCGGUGUUUUGGGGGGGGACACGUUUUAUUAGGGGCACCUCAGUGCCACUGCUUCACCUCCUUCUCAAUUCCCCCCAGCUGUUGCUGCUGGAGGAGACCCCCGAGGACCUGUGAGUUUUUGGGGGGUGGGGGGAAUUUGGGGAGCCCUCCCAAUGUCACCCAACCCGUGACCACCCCCUGCCCCACCAGGGAUGAGCUGCCUGAGGGAGAGGAGGAGGAGGAAGAGCUGGAACUCUCCAGGGCUGGUAUGAGGGGUUCUGGAGCGAGCAUCAUAAUCUGGGGAGGGGUCUGGGUGUGGGGAGUCCUGGGGGGGAAAUUUUG
rnacentral:lncRNA from 1 species